ACAGCGGCUUCUUUCGAAGCCACCAUGAAAGCGCUGCAAGCGUCUU
rfam:Chitinophaga eiseniae strain DSM 22224 genome assembly, contig: Ga0070509_101